rnacentral:rRNA from 1 species
AUUGAACGCUGGCGGCAGGCUUAACACAUGCAAGUCGAGCGGGGUGAUGGUGCUUGCACUAUCACUUAGCGGCGGACGGGUGAGUAAUGCUUAGGAAUCUGCCUAUUAGUGGGGGACAACAUCUCGAAAGGGAUGCUAAUACCGCAUACGUCCUACGGGAGAAAGCAGGGGAUCACUUGUGCCCUUGCGAUAAUAGAUGAGCCUAAGUCGGAUUAGCUAGUUGGUGGGGUAAAGGCCUAACAAGGCGACGAUCUGUAGCGGGUCUGAGAGGAUGAUCCGCCACACUGGGACUGAGACACGGCCCAGACUCCUACGGGAGGCAGCAGUGGGGAAUAUUGGACAAUGGGGGGAACCCUGAUCCAGCCAUGCCGCGUGUGUGAAGAAGGCCUUAUGGUUGUAAAGCACUUUAAGCGAGGAGGAGGCUCUUUUGGUUAAUACCCAAGAUGAGUGGACGUUACUCGCAGAAUAAGCACCGGCUAACUCUGUGCCAGCCGCCGCCGUAA